AUACAAAAAACAUUGCACAAAUAUCACAUUGACAUUUGCAUCUCAUCAUUCAACUUAGUUUCAAUGUCUCAUGAUGGCACUUCAAUGACAGAUUAUACUUUGCUCCGCUGUGAAGUCUUUCCGCAGAGGAAAGAAAGAUACAACUGUUGGGGAGCUAAAUAAAUCAUAUGUGGAAAUCUGCAAAACGUCCCUCAUACCACCAGUUGGAAUCCUGGAAUUUAUAAGUUUGUGCAGAGUGCUAAAUGACCAGGGACUUCUCAAAUUAGGGCAGUCUCGUGAAGAUAAAUUGAAAAGAGUAACGUUAAAAAUAGAUGAGUCGGAUAUCACUUUUGCAUUGCAGGGAGUUCGUUUCUUCCGGAAUUGUCUUCAAUAAUUUUGUUCUUAAGUUGGACUCUGGUUAAUCCCUUGCUAUCUUCUUUACUUUGUCGCCAAAUAUUAAGGUGAGUGACUUGGCUGGCGAAGGAUAGAUACUUGGAGAGCCUGGUAAAAUAUGGUGUUGAUUUCAUGGUCGCGUUGCUCGUAGUUGCUACUGAAGACAUACCAAUACUAGAACAGAUGAAAAAAUCGAUAGACAUAUGCAAUACAUCACCUGUAAUUGUAUUCCUUUUGUGAAUUACAUUUUUAUUAUUUAUUUGAUGUAACUAAUAAAAGAGCAAUUUCAGUUCUUUUGUA